rnacentral:lncRNA from 10 species
CAGGCUUUUGGCAUAAUAGCACAUCGAUAGGUGAAGAGAAACUGAAAGUCAUACUUGGAAGAUGAUGUGACACCAUCCCCAUUGUCCUUUCCAGAGAUGAGCCUGAUGGACUUGAAUUACUGACAACCCACAGCAGAAGCUGAAGGGCUUCAUGGCCUAAUUCCCUGAUCCUCCAACCAGGAGGCCUCCCCAGGCCUGAAAGAAGUGUUUGUAAAGGUCAACUCCCUUAGAUCUUUUAAAUUCCAAGAACAAAAGAUAAAAGAAGCUCUACCAAAAUACAAACAACAAGCAACAACAACAACAAUCUUCCUACCUUGAUGUGUACGUCUGUAAUUGUGGUGUUAAAGUUGUGUAGGGAAAAAGGGAGAAAGCUUCAUUUGUCUUCCUCCAGCUUGAGUUGAUAGUUGGUGAUUGGACUAAUGGUCCCAUGUACUGUUGUAACUUCAGGAACCGCCGUGAAGCAAGGAUUCAUCAAAGAGGGGAAGCGAGAGGAUUUUGUUUGCUUAUUUAAUAAAAAAAAUUAAAAAAAUAGAGAUUUCCUUUAGCUUGGAGGUAUGGUUUAAUUAGAAUGGUUUUCUCCUGGGUUUUUGUGCCCUCAUUCUCCACCUCUCCUCCAUAAAGCCUGCCUGAGAAAUGCCUUCUUAAAUAUGAACAAAAUCAUCCUAAUUAUUUAAUCUACUCUUAUGGAACACAGCACGUGGAAGAAUGCGCCCUCAGUUUGACCUUCUGUGGUAGAGGAAAAGAGAGAAAGUCUA